rnacentral:rRNA from 1 species
UGUUAGUGGCAGACGGGUGAGUAAUGCGUAGGAAUCUACCUAGUAGUAUGGAAUAGCCAUUAGAAAUGAUGGGUAAUACUGUAUAAUCCCUGCGGGGGAAAGAUUUAUCGCUAUUAGAUGAGCCUACGUUAGAUUAGCUAGUUGGUAAGGUAAUGGCUUACCAAGGCUAUGAUCUAUAGCUGGUCUGAGAGGACGAUCAGCCACACUGGAACUGAGAUACGGUCCAGACUCCUACGGGAGGCAGCAGUGGGGAAUA